GGUGCUUCUCAGGUGAUGCCCCCCAGAAUCGAGCUCCCUCCUCUCUGGUUCCGGGUGUGUCACCCAAGAACCACA
rfam:Myotis brandtii contig158177, whole genome shotgun sequence.